rnacentral:rRNA from 1 species
AUUGAACGCUGGCGGCAGGCCUAACACAUGCAAGUCGGACGGCAGCACAGAAAAGGCUGCUUCUUACGUGGGGCGUGUGGAGGGCGGGAGUAGCAUACAGGGACAUAUCCUUCAUCGGGGGGGAACUCGUCGGAAAACUUGCGCUAAUCCCAUAUACUCCCAAGGAGUAAAAAGAGGGGCAUUUCGGCUUUCGCUCGUUUAACUGCGGCGAUGUCGGAUUAUCUAGUUGGGGGGGUAAAGGCCCACCAAGGCGACGAUCCGUAGCUGGUCUGAGAGGAUGAUCCGCCACACUGGGACUGAGACACGGCCCAGACUCCUACGGGAGGCAGCAGUGGGGAAUUUUGGACAAUGGGCGCAAGCCUGAUCCAGCCAUGCCGCGUGGGUGAAGAAGGCCUUCGGGUUGUAAAGCACUUUUGUCAGGGAAGAAAAGCGCCGGGUUAAUACCCCUGUCUUAUGACGGUACCCAAAGAAUAAGCACCGGCUAACUUCGUG